rnacentral:tRNA from 1 species
CAGAGCAUAGCUAACACAGUAAAGCACCUCCCUUACACUGAGACGACACCCGUGCAAACCGGGUUGCCCUGAC